CUUGAAAGCAAUGGUUGUGGGUUCUUAACCCAUUUCGGCCCAAAUUUUAGCAAGUCUUUCUACACUGUUCUAAACACUCUUCAAGCAUCUCUAGAACUUGUAAUCAAUUAAAUUUAAUGUACUUUAACCUAUUCGAACCCCAAAGAACACUAAACAAUCCAUUUAGUGGUUCAACGCAAUGUUUCCGAGUUCUGAGCCCAUUUGGGACCAAAUUUCAACAAGUGUUUCUCCAAACUUUUAAACACUCUUCAUGAUGCCCUAGCAC
rnacentral:lncRNA from 1 species